AGCAACAAGAGUUCAAAAUGUGUUAUCGACGACACACGUCUGGCCUUCCUCUCCAGCUUUUGGACUGAGAUGUCUCAUGAAAGGCACGAGAUCCCACAGUCUAGGAAAAACCUCCAAUCCAGUUUCCCAAGGAGAGUAAAACUCUCUGACAACGAGGAAGGGCACCAUACACAAGGAUGUGAGAAGGCUUGCCCUGGGAACCCAGGCACCAUGUUGUGCAGCAGCCCAGGCCACAUGGAGAAGCCAGGUGUGGGUACUCCAGACAAUAGCCCCCAGCCCACAUCAGCAUCAUCUACCAGAUGUGUGAGUGAAUCAGCCCUCAUGUGUUCCUGCCUGGCCUUCAGUCUUCCAGCCGUGCCCAGACAUGGUGGAGCCAAUGGCACCCUGUCUCCAUUUAUGAUCCACAGAAACCGUCCCUGCUGUGUUGUGACCUGGUCUCCAGCUCUCCAGCUGCAGUGUUGAAUUCAUUACCUGGGACUCACAUGAGAAAAGGGAGUUUGAGCAGCCUGAAUACUAUGGUUCUGAUGCCUUGAGAGUCUGGUUUUGUUUCUACUUUUUCUAUGGCUGCAGUCAGAAGAGAAUUCACAGGGCUACACGGAGGUACAGCUCAGGAAAAGCAUGCAGACGGCAGCUCAACUAGCUGAUCGCUGAUGUCCGGGAGCAGCAGCAGCAAUGGAAACACACCACAACUUUUCCCAAAUGUGCCUGGCCAGUAUGCCACUGUCAUCUUUGCCAGCAGAACCUUCAGUUCCAGGACUGGGCUGUGACUCAUGCAGCGAGAGGCACUCCUUGUGAGCCAGGGCAAUGGGGCCAAGAGAGAGGGGACCAACGGGAUGGGGUUCUCUGUAGAUCUCCUACCUACGGCGGCUCCUCUUGUGAGAACACCUGGGCACCUUGAUUCAGCUCGGUUCCCAUAUUCUCUUCGCUGAAAUCAGAGCUUUUGGUAAGGCUAGUGGUUCCUCCCAGAAAGGCCGACAGCUCAAUGUCUGCUACUGCCCGGCUUUGUUUGAAGAUGCCUCGCUUGACUGCCAGCCCCCUGGUGAGCCCCUCAGUGAUUUUCCUCCCAAAGGAGACGCCAACACAGAGAACACCCAUUCCCCACCCCCACCCCCAAAAUACAUUCUGCCAGGGUAGGGGAGAAACCUUUUCAUAUUGAGGCUACCGUUCCUGUCCUCUUCACCACAAAAAUUCGCUGAAAUGGACACAUAGAAAGCCAUUGACUCCCUCGCCAUCGACAUUUUAUUGUGAAAAUUUCCAAACAUAAAAGAGAUGUUGAAAGAAUUACGCAGCGAGCACCCAUCUAUCUACCACUUAGAUUCUGCAAUUAACAUUUUGCUGGAUUUGCUUUCCUUAUAAUAUAUUCUUCUAUCUCUCCAAGCCACUGAUAUCUGAGGCUUUUUAAAAGCCUGGUUUAAAUAUUCAACUCAUUUGCUUUGAAAACUUCAGACAGGAAACUUAACGCCUUGUUUAAUGAGCACAGAAUAAUUUAGAUCCAUUCCAAAUUAGGCUAGGAGGGAGGGAGGUGAGAAAAAAGGUUAGAGGAAAAUGGAGAGGGAGAAUGUGGCUUUGGGAAGGCAAAGGGAGGGUGAGAGAGAUGAGAAGAAUGGGCCAGGAGGGAGGGGUGUGAAGACACAGGAAAAGAGUCUCAGGGCUUGCAAAUGAGUGCAGGUCAGAUGGAGAGCUGGGGUGUGGAUGUUGUGUACCCAGGCAGCAGCUGCCACAUGGUACGGAUGCUGCUGGGGCCCAGACCAGCUCCCAGCACUGAGCACACCUGUUGACCUCCCCCUGCCAUGGUCAGGACUGCCACAGGCAGCUACCCCAGGACUCCACAUGGAGCGCAGGUGUCAUCACAGACUUCCCAGGUCAGGGGAUCCACCACUGUCAAAUGGAAGAGAUCUAGGAUUUGAACCCCACCCCUGUUAUUUACUCCUGACACACAAGACCUUGGACAGUUAUUUAAUCUCUCUGAGAUGCUCUACUUUCAUUCAUUAAAUGGGCAUAUUAAGAAUAUAAAACUCUGAUAGUCAUUCUAAGUGAAGUAAGUCAGAAGGAGAAAGACAAAUACCAUAUGAUAUCACUUAUAUGUGGAAUCUAAAAAAAGUGACACAAAUGAGCUUAUCCACAAAACAGAAACAGACUCACAGACAUAGAGAAUAAACUUAUGGUUACCAAGGGGUAAAGGGAACUGAAAGGGAUAAAUUGGAAAUUUGAAAUUUGCACCU